rnacentral:lncRNA from 1 species
AAGGCAAGAUCGGUGGUGGUGGGAAUGUUUUUGGCAAAUCAGUGGUAAAGAAAGGGGUUAGCCCAAGAUCGGAAUCCUCAUUGGCAAGUGUAAAUGGUAGAAGAAAGGGAGAACCAUCGUUGGGUGCGACGAAAUCAAACAAGCCCGUCGUCGUUAGUUUACCGGAAGUAAAGGAACAAGAACAAGAAAAUGAAGAUGAUAUAGUUAUAAUGGAUGUCGGGGAUUCGGAAGAAUCUCUACUAAGCGAGGAAACAGACGACCAGAUCCUAGAAUCACUUCCAGACCCAUAUGAACCAACAAAGCCCGCCGCCGUCGACUUCAACCUCAAAACCACAAAAUCACCGGAAGCAAUCGAAGACAAAAUCGUAAUCGAUGAAGUCAUCACCGAGAUGAAAACCGAAAACAUCGAUGAAGUCAUCACCGAGAUGAAAACCGAAAACAUCGAUGAAGUCAUCACCGAGAUGAAAACCGAAAACAUCGAUGAAGUCAAACAGCAAACUCCCAACAAAGAAACGGAGGAGCC